rfam:Triticum aestivum genome assembly, contig: Triticum_aestivum_CS42_TGACv1_scaffold_433831_5DL
UUCAUACUCCCUCUAUCUGAAAAUACUUGUCAUCAAAAUGGACAAAAAGGGGCGUAUCUAGAAUUAAAAUACAUCUAUAUACAUCUUCUUUUAUCCAUUUCGAUGACAAGUAUUUCCGAACGGAGUGAGUACGUU